rnacentral:rRNA from 1 species
UACGAAGGGGGCUAGCGUUGCUCGGAAUCACUGGGCGUAAAGCGCACGUAGGCGGCUUUUUAAGUCAGGGGUGAAAUCCUGGAGCUCAACUCCAGAACUGCCUUUGAUACUGAGGAUCUUGAGUUCGGGAGAGGUGAGUGGAACUGCGAGUGUAGAGGUGAAAUUCGUAGAUAUUCGCAAGAACACCAGUGGCGAAGGCGGCUCACUGGCCCGGUACUGACGCUGAGGUGCGAAAGCGUGGGGAGCAAACAGG